rnacentral:misc_RNA from 1 species
GGAACAUUCAAGCUUUGAACUAAUAACAAUCUCCAAAAGUAAAACUCUGGAUUCCUGGAAGAAACCACUUCUAUAUAUAGGCUGGGAUUGCCAGCCAACAUGACAAAACUGAUUUUCCAUGCUGAAGCUCAUACGUCAGGCAGUUGUAGAGGGCGCUUUUUAGAGUUAUUCUUAGGGCGAACCUUCACAAAGGCCUUGUCCAAAUCCUGACCCUGACCAACACCAUGGUCCUGGUUCGAUGCAUAUGUGCUCCAAAGCUUCUCUAAGUUGUAGUACGCUCUCACUUUCUCAUCAAGGGCAUGAAUUACUACUUUGCCAGAGUCUAUUACAAUCCAGUUGCCCGCUUCUUGCCCUUCCACGCUAGGUAACAACAUUCUCUUUGAUCCUUUUUGCUUCUGCUUAACCUUGUAAAUUAGGGCUUGAGAAAUAUUACGGACGUGCCAAGCGGAUCGACCAGUAGCAACGACCAUGAAAUCUGCAAAAUCACAGUGCUUAGGAAUGGGAAAAACUUUGACAUUAUCAGCUUUGACAUCUCUGAGGAUUGCCUCCACUUCCUCCAGUUUCAGUAACUCUCCGCUGCGUAUUCCAUCAUCGGCACCGUCGUUGGUGGCGGAGGAAGAAACAGAUAGAGAGCGAUUGAGAAUUGAUAACCCUAGCUUCCAUUGUUGAGUUGCAGGGGAAGAAGCGAAGCUUCGAGAUUUUAGAACCGACCACAUCGGAAUUUCUG